rnacentral:rRNA from 1 species
AUUGAACGCUGGCGGCAGGCCUAACACAUGCAAGUCGGACGGUAGCACAGAGGAGCUUGCUCCUUGGGUGACGAGUGGCGGACGGGUGAGUAAUGUCUGGGAAACUGCCUGAUGGAGGGGGAUAACUACUGGAAACGGUAGCUAAUACCGCAUAACGUCGCAAGACCAAAGAGGGGGACCUUCGGGCCUCUUGCCAUCAGAUGUGCCCAGAUGGGAUUAGCUAGUAGGUGGGGUAACGGCUCACCUAGGCGACGAUCCCUAGCUGGUCUGAGAGGAUGACCAGCCACACUGGAACUGAGACACGGUCCAGACUCCUACGGGAGGCAGCAGUGGGGAAUAUUGCACAAUGGGCGCAAGCCUGAUGCAGCCAUGCCGCGUGUAUGAAGAAGGCCUUCGGGUUGUAAAGUACUUUCAGCGGGGAGGAAGGUGUUGUGGUUAAUAACCGCAGCAAUUGACGUUACCCGCAGAAGAAGCACCGGCUAACUCCGUGCCAGCCGCCGCCGUAA